UACGAAGGGGGCUAGCGUUGCUCGGAAUCACUGGGCGUAAAGGGUGCGUAGGCGGGUCUUUAAGUCAGGGGUGAAAUCCUGGAGCUCAACUCCAGAACUGCCUUUGAUACUGAAGAUCUUGAGUUCGGGAGAGGUGAGUGGAACUGCGAGUGUAGAGGUGAAAUUCGUAGAUAUUCGCAAGAACACCAGUAGCGAAGGCGGCUCACUGGCCCGAUACUGACGCUGAAGCACGAAAGCGUGGGGAGCAAACAGG
rnacentral:rRNA from 1 species